rnacentral:lncRNA from 1 species
CGUCGAGUCCCGGCUCGCCUGCCAGGCCGCUGCGGCACCGAACCCACCGCCGCCCUCGAAUGUCUCCUGCUCCGGGCAGCCCAAGCCAAGGAGGUUUUCCCAAACCAACCUGGCCGUAAUGCAAGAUGAAACCGCAAACUGUGAGCGGAAGCUUCACUGUCCACCAGGCACGGCAGAGACUUGGGGAGAUGGAAACCGGCAAGCUGGUGUUAGCGGAGCGCCGUGACCACAAGCUGCGUGAAGGACAUAGCUUCUUCGCAGUGGAGGCCGCUCAAGUAGCGAGCAAUGCAGCUUCGCAGCCAUGCGUUGCGAGGGAUUUGUUCCUCCAGGAACUCACCUGCCUCAAGUGCUGGAGUCACAGUGAGCUUGAGCUGGGAGAGCCUCACAGGACAUUCAGGCCUGAACCGUAGGGCCUGACCUCCUCUUUCCUGCCUGAGACUCUUCACUGUUCAAGAUCAGCGAUGUUAUGUGCAGGGACAAGGGGUGUCCCCAUCUGCCAGUCAUUUUGCACUUGUUGCAGAAGCUGUGCAUAGAAAAUAGCACAUUGCCUGGAAGUGGAUUCAGCUUUCCGGAAGGCCGUUCCCAUUUGAUGGGAAAGCGAGGUUGGCGUAGGCCGUUGCUGGAUGAAUGGAGGCCUCUCAGCAUGGUGCUCUUGCCUCGCAUGCGCUCAGGACAGAC